rnacentral:lncRNA from 1 species
UCCAGACAAAUUUCGACAAUGGAAGGGCUCCACCGGUCGGAUGUCUACUCCGAACUUCUACUGCAAGUGAUCUACUCUGGAUCUCUACUGUAAGCGAAUUCUAUCUGAGUUUCUACUGUAAAUGAAUUCCUUCCGAGCACCUAUUACAGGCGGACUUCAGUCGAGCUUCUUCAAUAGGCGGUCCCCAUCCGGACUUCUACAAG